rnacentral:rRNA from 1 species
CCUACGGGCGGCAGCAGUGGGGAAUAUUGGGCAAUGGGCGCAAGCCUGACCCAGCAACGCCGCGUGAAGGAAGAAGGCUUUCGGGUUUGAAACUUCUUUUCUUAGGGACGCAGGAAGUGACGGUACCUCAGCAGUAAGCCACGGCUAACUACGUGCCAGCAGUCGCGGCAAUACGUAGGCGGCAGUCGUUAUGCGGAUUGAUGUGGUGUAAAGGGCGUGUAGGUGGGAAAGCAAGUCAGAUGUGAAAACUCAGGGCUUAACCCUGAGCCCGCAGUUGAAACUGUUUUUCUUGAGUGCUGGAGGGGUAAUCGGAAUGCCGGGUGUAGCGGUGAAAUGCAUAGAUAUAAGGAGGAACACCAGUGGCGAAGGCGGAUUGCUGGACAGUAACUGACGCUGAGGCGCGAAAGCGUGGGGAGCAAACAGGAUUAGAUACCCCUGUAGUC